rnacentral:rRNA from 1 species
CCUACGGGAGGCAGCAGUGGGGAAUAUUGGGCAAUGGGCACAAGCCUGACCCAGCAACGCCGCGUGAAGGAAGAAGGCUUUCGGGUUGUAAACUUCUUUUAAGGGGGAAGAGUAGAAGACGGUACCCCUUGAAUAAGCCACGGCUAACUAGGUGCCAGCAGCCGCGGUAAUACGUAGGUGGCAAGCGUUGUCCGGAUUUACUGGGUGUAAAGGGUGUGCAGCCGGAGAGACAAGUCAGAUGUGAAAUCCACGGGCUCAACCCGUGAACUGCAUUUGAAACUGUUUCCCUUGAGUGUCGGAGAGGUAAUCGGAAUGCCUUGUGUAGCGGUGAAAUGCGUAGAUAUAAGAAAGAACACCAGUGGCGAAGGCGGAUUACUGGACGAUAACUGACGGUGAGGCGCGAAAGCGUGGGGAGCAAACAGGAUUAGAUACCCUAGUAGUC